CAUCGCCGGUUAUCCGGCGCGCCGUCCGCAGGCCUKUGGCCGUGAGGACAAMACAGGUUUCUAGGUAUUGUGAUAAGGUAUCUACACCUGAAUACAUAGGGUGUAAGAAGCGAACGCAGGGAACUGAAACAUCUAAGUACCUGCAGGAAAGGACAUCAACCGAGACUCCGCAAGUAGUGGCGAGCGAACGCGGACCAGGCCAGUGGCAAUUGUGAUUAAAGUGGAACGCUCUGGAAAGUGCGGCCGUAGUGGGUGACAGCCCCGUACGCGUAGAUAUCAUGAUUGUCCUAGAGUAGGGCGGGACACGAGAAAUCCUGUCUGAACAUGGGGAGACCACUCUCCAAGCCUAAGUACUCGUGCAUGACCGAUAGCGAACAAGUACCGUGAGGGAAAGGUGAAAAGCACCCCGACAAGGGGAGUGAAAUAGAACCUGAAACCGGAUGCCUACAAACAGUCGGAGCCCGCAAGGGUGACGGCGUACCUUUUGUAUAAUGGGUCAACGACUUAGUGUAACAAGCAAGCUUAAGCCGGUAGGUGUAGGCGAAGCGAAAGCGAGUCUGAAUAGGGCGAUUUAGUUUGUUGCAUUAGACCCGAAACCGAGUGAUCUAGCCAUGAGCAGGUUGAAGGUUGGGUAACACCAACUGGAGGACCGAACCCGCAUCUGUUGCAAUAGAUUGGGAUGACUUGUGGCUAGGGGUGAAAGGCCAAUCAAACUCGGAAAUAGCUGGUUCUCCGCGAAAUCUAUUUAGGUAGAGCGUCGAGCGAAUACCCCCGGGGGUAGAGCACUGGAUGGGCUAUGGGGACUCACCGUCUUACUGAUCCUAACCAAACUCCGAAUACCGGGGAGUACUACUCGGCAGACACACGGCGGGUGCUAACGUCCGUCGUGAAAAGGGCAACAACCCUAACCUCCAGCUAAGGUCCCCAAGUCAUGGCUAAGUGGGAAAGGAUGUGAGGAUCCCAAAACAACCAGGAUGUUGGCUUAGAAGCAGCCAUCAUUUAAAGAAAGCGUAACAGCUCACUGGUCUAAAUAAGGGUCUUUGCGCCGAAAAUGUAACGGGGCUGAAGCCAUGCACCGAAGCUGAGGAUUUGCGAGCAAUCGCAAGUGGUAGCGGAGCGUUCCGUAAGCUGAUGAAGGGAGACCCGUGAGGGCUCCUGGAGGUAUCGGAAGUGCGAAUGUUGACAUGAGUAACGAUAAAGAGGGUGAGAGACCCUCUCGCCGAAAGACCAAGGGUUCCUGCUUAAAGUUAAUCUGAGCAGGGUUAGCCGGCCCCUAAGGCGAGGCAGAAAUGCGUAGUCGAUGGGAACCACGUUAAUAUUCGUGGGCCUGGUGGUAGUGACGGAUUGCACAAGUUGUUCAUUCUAAUUGGAUUGGAUGGGCAGCGGAGCGGUUCCAGGAAAUAGGUCCACCGUAUAGACCGUACCCGAAACCGACACAGGUGGUCAGGUAGAGUAUACCAAGGCGCUUGAGAGAACUAUGUUGAAGGAACUCGGCAAAUUGCACGCGUAACUUCGGAAGAAGCGUGACCCCAUGCUAGGCAACUAUUAUGGGGUGGCACAGACCAGGGGGUAGCGACUGUUUAUCAAAAACACAGGGCUCUGCGAAGUCGCAAGACGACGUAUAGGGUCUGACGCCUGCCCGGUGCUGGAAGGUUAAGAGGAGAGGUGCAAGCUUUGAAUCGAAGCCCCAGUAAACGGCGGCCGUAACUAUAACGGUCCUAAGGUAGCGAAAUUCCUUGUCGGGUAAGUUCCGACCUGCACGAAUGGCGUAACGACUUCCCCGCUGUCUCCAACAUAGACUCAGUGAAAUUGAAUUCCCCGUGAAGAUGCGGGGUUCCUGCGGUCAGACGGAAAGACCCCGUGCACCUUUACUAUAGCUUUACACUGGCAUUCGUGUCGGCAUGUGUAGGAUAGGUGGUAGGCUUUGAAGCGGGGACGCCAGUUUCCGUGGAGCCAUCCUUGAAAUACCACCCUUAUCGUCAUGGAUGUCUAACCGCGGCCCGUUAUCCGGGUCCGGGACAGUGUAUGGUGGGUAGUUUGACUGGGGCGGUCGCCUCCGAAAGAGUAACGGAGGCGCGCGAUGGUGGGCUCAGACCGGUCGGAAAUCGGUCGUCGAGUGCAAUGGCAUAAGCCCGCCUGACUGCGAGACUGACAAGUCGAGCAGAGACGAAAGUCGGUCAUAGUGAUCCGGUGGUCCCGCGUGGAAGGGCCAUCGCUCAACGGAUAAAAGGUACGCCGGGGAUAACAGGCUGAUGACCCCCAAGAGUCCAUAUCGACGGGGUUGUUUGGCACCUCGAUGUCGGCUCAUCGCAUCCUGGGGCUGGAGCAGUUAAAAAAUGGGCUUUCGCCAAUAGACGGUA
rnacentral:rRNA from 1 species